rnacentral:misc_RNA from 1 species
GUAAUCAAAACUUGGUCAUUC